CCUACGGGCGGCAGCAGUGGGGAAUAUUGCACAAUGGGCGAAAGCCUGAUGCAGCAACGCCGCGUGAGCGAUGAAGGCCUUCGGGUCGUAAAGCUCUGUCCUCAAGGACGAUAAUGACGGUACUUGAGGAGGACGCCCCGGCUAACUACGUGCCAGCAGCCGCGGUACUACGGGGGGGACUAGCCUUAUCCGGGAUUACUGGGCGUAAAGGGUGCGUAGGUGGUUUCUAAAGUCAGAGGUGAAAGGCUACGGCUCAACCGUAGUAAGCCUAUGAAACUGGGGAACUUGAGUGCAGGAGAGGAAGGUGGAAUUCCUAGUGUAGCGGUGAAAUGCGUAGAUAUUAGGAGGAACACCAGUGGCGAAGGCGGCUCUCUGGACUGUAACUGACACUGAGGCACGAAAGCGUGGGGAGCAAACAGGAUUAGAUACCCCUGUAGUC
rnacentral:rRNA from 1 species